AAAAGAAAAGUAUAACUUGACAGUCACUAUAUUAAGAUGAUGUAUGUAUCCCAGACCUAGUUCCUUUCCUAGGACUGGUUUUAUAAAUGCUGGUGAUAAAU